GGAAAACAGCACCUUGAGCUCCUGAGCCAACCCACUGCAGGUCCAGGAUCUCCUCAAAGGGGACUUCCCAGAGGUCUGCAGGCAGGAGACACAGGGCCGCAGGCUGAGACACUCGACACUCCAGGGUUGCCCGAGGAGGAAUGUGCUCGAGUGUCAUUACCAGGCGAAGAAAGAAACAAACCCACUUGGUGGUGAGGAAAGUCUCGGCCGGCUGAAGUGGCUCAGUGGAGAAAAGAAUAUGCUGGGCCAGCCUGCUGCACUCCUCCCACCGACGCCCUCCGCCACACUCGCACCCACAACUCCUUAAAGUAUCAAACUCAAGGACAGGUGUGAGCCGGGGAACAUCAGGAAUCCAGCAUGUAUAAGGCCCUGGACCGAUCUCGGCAGGAGAGGUGGUGGAAUUGUGGCUUCACUGCACCACACUGAACUCACAUACUUGACUGCCUGGGUGCCCAGCUUGGCAGGACCACAGACACAAGGACUGGCAAUGGUGCAGCAGGUUUGAGCGAGCACAGGCUGUGCUUGCAGAGGGCCUGGCUUCGGGUCUCAGAACCUUCUCCAUGACUCACAACCAUCUGAAAGCCCAGUCUCGGGGACCCAAAACCCUCCUCUAGCUUCUCCGGUCCCUGAACACACAUGCUGCAUUCACAGACACGCAGCGAAGCAGCGACACACACAGAAAAAAUAAAUACAGCAGCCUGGUGUGGUGGCGCACGCCUGUAAUCCUCUCCAUUGGGAGUCGUGAACUGGUGGAUCUCUGAGUUCAAAGCCAGCCUGGUUCAUACAGUGAGACCCUAUCUCCAAAAACCCAACAGCAACAAAAAAAGCAAA